rnacentral:rRNA from 1 species
CGGGGUGCAGCAGGCGCGAAAACUCUACAAUGCAGGCAACUGCGAUAGGGGAACAUCGAGUGGCGUCCAUAUUGGAUGUCUGUCCUCCCGCCUAAAAAGCGGGAGUUAGCAAGGGCCGGGCAAGACCGGUGCCAGCCGCCGCGGUAAUACCGGCGGCUCGAGUGGUGGCCGAUAUUAUUGAGUCUAAAGGGUCCGUAGCCGGCUUUGCAAGUCUCUCGGGAAAUCCAGCGGCUUAACCGUUGGUCGUCCGGGGGGUACUACAUUGCUUGGGACUGGGAGAGGUAGGAGGUACUCAGGGGGUAGGAGUGAAAUCCUGUAAUCCUUUGGGGACCACCGGUGGCGAAGGCGUCCUACCAGAACAGGUCCGACGGUGAGGGACGAAAGCUAGGGGCACGAACCGGAUUAGAUACCCGGGUAGUCCUAGCCGUAAACGAUGCUCGCUAGGUGUCACAACAGUCGUGAACUGUUGUGGUGCCGUAGGGAAGCCGUGAAGCGAGCCACUUGGGAAGUACGACCGCAAGGUUGAAACUUAAAGGAAUUGGCGGGGGAGCACAAGGGCGAUUCGCG